CCAGCUUGCUGUGUCCAUCACAGGGGAGGGGUGUGUCAGACAGCGGAGAGUUGGAGAGACUGGUUUGUUGGUGGGAAGUGAAACCGGGACCAGAGAGAGGGUGAGAAAGGCCCUUACAGCUCUUCCCUCUGCUGCCUCCGUGCUGAGAUGCUGGCCACUGUGAUUUCAGCAUUUCCAGAUUUGAUUUGAAUUGACCUCCUUUCGGCUGUGAUGUGUUUUGGAAUGUUCUGCAGUUGUGAGAGAGUGGGGAGGGUAGGAAUGUUUAGACCCCUGUGUAUUUCUGCACCUGGCUGUGUGGCUGAAGCCGUACAAAUCAACCUGGAUCUCACGUGUCUUUAACCCGAGCAGUCUGGAGGUGAAUAAUUCUUCUGUGCGUACAGACAUUUGUAACUGUUUGUGUUGAAGCAAUGGGGUCAAAAACCUACUUUAAAGUUCUUGUGCUUGCGUCCUUCCUGGUGUCUGCUUUUCUGGUGCUAAGUUUCCAUGUGACCCGUGGGCUGACUGAAGUCUCUGGUGGGUCAGAUCCCCGCACUCUGCUGAAGCAAGUGAAGAGCGAGGAUGACGAAGACGAGGUCGUCAACCAGCGCUUCAGGAUCGAUUUUGAGGCUCUGCACAGCCGCCGGUAUGAACCACCUCCUUGCCAGAAGGGGCAGGUCCUCCUGGUCCUUGUGACAUCUGCCCAGCCCAAUGUUGACCGUAGGAAUGCUAUUCGCAACACAUGGGCACUGGGCUGGGAGCAGAGUGCCUUCCCUUGGCAAGUGGUCUUCCUGGUUGGCCAGGCCACGGGAGAAGGGGCAGCCGACCUAAUCCAAUCGGAGCAGGAAGUGUUCCAAGACGUGUUAGUGGGAAACUACCUGGAUACUUACAGAAACCUUACGCUAAAAGUCAUGCACGGUUUAAAGUGGGCGGUGAGCACUUGCCGGCCUUUGUACAUCCUCAAAACUGAUGAUGACUGCUUUGUAAACACAGACAGGCUGCCUCGCUUUCUGGUCCGGGACAAUCCGAUCCAGACGGGCCUUUACGCUGGCUCUCUGUUUGCACCCGAGAAGCGGGAAGUCAUCCGGAAUCCCUGGAGCAAAUGGUAAACAUUGUUUCUUACUUCGGAGUGCUGCAAGCCUGACAAAAGGAAACAGGACAACAAAAGGACUCUUUCAGCCGGAACACAGUUUUCCAUGUUGCAUUGUAGGAAAUGAAAUACUUCAAAAAGAUGCUGUAAAACCCAUCUCCUGAUUCCCUAAGGCCUGUCCACCAUCUACAAGACACAAGUCGGGAGUGUGAUGGAAGACUGUCCACUUACCUGGAGGAGUGCAGCUCCAACAACACCCUAAUCACCGGCAGCGAGUCCUGGAGCUGCGUGCAAGCAACAAGUCCCAGAGCAGCGAGGGCUGAGAGUCCUGGAGCAGUGUGCCAGCUGUGAUUCCCAGGCAAAGACCACCAUAGGCAAGGCAGUCCUAGAAUUUA